rnacentral:lncRNA from 1 species
CACACAUUUCGUACUCCGCCCUAUCAACUGUUGGGUAACUUGAUAACUUGAUAUGGAUUUUUGUUUGAGCACUUUUGGGUAAGUCCAGGUAUUUCGAGUCUCCUGUAAUUUUAACUUCAUCAAGUUAAUCAAUUGUUGGCGAGGACGCCAUCUCUUAUACGGGGCGUCCUCUAACCUGCCGCCAUGAUCCCGCAGCCAGGCCUUACGACCCUGCUUGGAUUAUCAUUUUUCCUCCUAAAUACCCCUUUUAAGGUUUCUGUAAUCACGCUUGUAUUUCAUCCAGCAAAAAAAGAACAGUGCAUUUGCACCUGGAUGAACAGUAAAAUAAAAAAUAUAUCAAUUUUUUUUAAAACAGAAAUUUUUGUAGAUGUUAGUGUUAGUGUUUCAAGCAUGCUUCACAAUUUUCAUGUGAAACGAAGCAUUUGUUGGUGAAAAAAUAAAUUUGGGUGUGACAUUUUGGGUAACAAUUGAUGUUCAAUUUUAUUUUCUUGCACAGGCCAAAAUGCAACCUUUUUGCCUAAAAAUUUUUAGGUAGCAUUUGGAUUUGUCAAAGAACACACAAAAAAAUUCUUGGGAUUUUUCUUGAUGUUUUAAAAAUCAUUUUCCACAGGCAGGAGCACGUGCUCCUGAGAGCCAAUUGCAUUUCCGGUAGUCACGCUUGUAUUCGGCCUGCGUCUGAUACACGUCUCUCUUUCUGGGAGGAAAUUACCUUUGCCCUUUUGAGGCAAGGGUGGAAAUCAGCUGUUGCUUUUUUUAGGGCAAAAAGCAACAGUAAGAUACACCUGUCAAACAAAGGCCAUAGCCCAUUCUUGUAUGUAUGUCGAUAAACAGUAACCAACAGGUUUUCCCUAGCCCAUGUCUUUGAACUGUUAAGGCUCCGGAAACCAAGUCCAUGUGUGGAGGAGAUUUGUCUCAAAUAACAAAAAGUGUCGAGGGGAUAUGGGGAUUUCUGGACUGUACUAGGGCACGCGGGGUUCACCUGACACCAACGUGAAUAGCCGCGUCUGAUGGAAUAUUAGGCAAGUUCAUGAUUAAUUCCAGUAAAUAAUUCAUGACUAGAAGAGAUACUAGCAUGCAAUAAUCUAGCAAACUAGAAGAACAGCAAGACAUGCAUAACAGCAGCAAACACGUAACAAUAGCUGUAGAAACAGACAUGAACAGAGGAUGUUGGACGUACUGAUCGUUAGCUAUUAUGGGUGCGACAGUGUUGAUGACGAUGUUGGCGACGAUCUGCUGCUGACGGCGAUGAAUACGACGAUGAGUAGCAGAUCGUCGCCAACAUUUUUAAGGUUUCUGUAAUCACGCUUGUAUUUCAUCCAGCAAAAAAAGAACAGUGCAUUUGCACCUGGAUGAACAGUAAAAUAAAAAAUAUAUCAAUUUUUUUUAAAACAGAAAUUUUUGUAGAUGUUAGUGUUAGUGUUUCAAGCAUGCUUCACAAUUUUCAUGUGAAACGAAGCAUUUG